rnacentral:rRNA from 1 species
GGGGAAUAUUGGGCAAUGGAGGAAACUCUUACCCAGCAAUGCCGCGUGAAGGAAGAAGGUCUUCGGAUUGUAAACUUCUGUUAUAGGUGACGAAGAAUGACGGUAGCCUAUGAGGAAGCCCCGGCAAACUAUGUGCCAGCAGCCGCGGUAAUACAUAGGGGGCGAGCGUUGUCCGGAAUGACUGGGCGUAAAGAGAGUGUAGGCGGUCAUGCAAGUUAUAUGUGAAAGCCCGGGGCUUAACCUCGGAAUUGCAUGUAAAACUGCAUGACUUGAGUGUGGGAGAGGAAAGUGGAAUUCCUAGUGUAGCGGUGGAAUGCGUAGAUAUUAGGAGGAACACCAGUGGCGAAGGCGGCUUUCUGGACCAUAACUGACGCUGAGGCUCGAAAGCGUGGGGAGCAAAC